AGCGAACGCUGGCGGCAGGCCUAACACAUGCAAGUCGAGCGGCCGUAGCAAUACGGCAGCGGCAGACGGGAGAGUAACACGUGGGAACGCGCCCUUCGGUUCGGGAUAACCCAGGGAAACUUGGGCUAAUACCGGAUACGCCCUUACGGGGAAAGAUUUAUUGCCGAAGGAACGGCCCGCGUCCGAUUGGCUAGUUGGUGAGGUAACGGCUCACCAAGGCGACGAUCGGUAGCUGGUCUGAGAGGAUGACCAGCCUCACUGGGACUGAGACACGGCCCAGACUCCUACGGGAGGCAGCGGUGGGGAAUAUUGGACAAUGGGCGCAAGCCUGAUCCAGCCAUGCCGCGUGGGUGAUGAAGGCCCUAGGGUUGUAAAGCCCUUUCAGCGGGGAAGAUAAUGACGGUACCCGCAGAAGAAGCCCCGGCUAAUUUCGUGCCAGCCGCCGCAGUAAGAC
rnacentral:rRNA from 1 species